rnacentral:rRNA from 1 species
UGGGGAAUUUUGGACAAUGGGCGAANCCUGAUCCAGCAAUGCCGCGUGUGUGAAGAAGGCCUUCGGGUUGUAAAGCACUUUUGUCCGGAAAGAAAUCCUUGGCUCUAAUACAGUCGGGGGAUGACGGUACCGGAAGAAUAAGCACCGGCUAACUACGUGCCAGCAGCCGCGGUAAUACGUAGGGUGCAAGCGUUAAUCGGAAUUACUGGGCGUAAAGCGUGCGCAGGCGGUUUGCUAAGACCGAUGUGAAAUCCCCGGGCUCAACCUGGGAACUGCAUUGGUGACUGGCAGGCUAGAGUAUGGCAGAGGGGGGUAGAAUUCCACGUGUAGCAGUGAAAUGCGUAGAGAUGUGGAGGAAUACCGAUGGCGAAGGCAGCCCCCUGGGCCAAUACUGACGCUCAUGCACGAAAGCGUGGGGAGCAAACAGGAUUAGAUACCCUGGUAGUCCACGCCCUAAACGAUGUCAACUAGUUGUUGGGGAUUCAUUCCUUAGUAACGUAGCUAACGCGUGAAGUUGACCGCCUGGGGAGUACGGUCGCAAGAUUAAAACUCAAAGGAAUUGACGGGGUCAUAGCUG